GACGAACGCUGGCGGCGUGCUUAACACAUGCAAGUCGAACGGGAUUUAGUAAACAGAAGCCUCGGUGGAAGAUUACUAAUGAGAGUGGCGAACGGGUGAGUAACGCGUGAGCAACCUGCCUAUGACAGUGGGAUAGCCUCGGGAAACCGGGAUUAAUACCGCAUAAAAUCGUAGAAACACAUGUUUUAACGGUCAAAGAUUUUCGGUCAUUGAUGGGCUCGCGUCUGAUUAGCUAGUUGGUGAGAUAACAGCCCACCAAGGCGACGAUCAGUAGCCGGUCUGAGAGGAUGAACGGCCACAUUGGAACUGAGACACGGUCCAAACUCCUACGGGAGGCAGCAGUGGGGAAUAUUGCACAAUGGGGGAAACCCUGAUGCAGCGACGCCGCGUGAACGAAGAAGGUAUUCGUAUCGUAAAGUUCUGUCCUAUGGGAAGAUAAUGACAGUACCAUAGAAGAAAGCUCCGGCUAAAUACGUG
rnacentral:rRNA from 1 species